AGAGUUUGAUCAUGGCUCAGAACGAACGCUGGCGGCGUGCUUAACACAUGCAAGUCGAGUGCGCGGUUGUAGCAAUACAACUGGCGCACGGCGCACGGGUGCGUAACACGUGGGCAAUCUGCCCUCCGAUGGGGAAUAACCCCGCGAAAGCGGGGCUAAUACCGCAUAACAUUCCGGGGACUUCGGUUCCUGGAUUCAAAGGCGUAAGUCGUCGGAGGUGGAGCCCGCGCCCGAUUAGCUAGUUGGUGAGGUAACGGCUCACCAAGGCAAUGAUCGGUAGCUGGUCUGAGAGGAUGGCCAGCCACACUGGAACUGAGACACGGUCCAGACUCCUACGGGAGGCAGCAGUGGGGAAUCUUGCGCAAUGGGCGAAAGCCUGACGCAGCGACGCCGCGUGGGGGAUGAAGCAUCUCGGUGUGUAAACCCCUUUCGACUGGGACGAAUGCCUCGCAAGAGGAGUGACGGUACCAGUAGAAGAAGCCCCGGCUAACUACGUGCCAGCAGCCGCGGUAAGACGUAGGGGGCCAGCGUUGUUCGGAAUUACUGGGUGUAAAGGGUUCGUAGGCGGUGUAGCAAGUCGGGAGUGAAAUCUCUGGGCUUAACCCAGAGGCUGCUUCCGAAACUGCUGUGCUGGAGUGUGGGAGAGGCGCGUGGAAUUGCAGGUGUAGCGGUGAAAUGCGUAGAUAUCUGCAGGAACACCCGUGGCGAAGGCGGCGCGCUGGACCACUACUGACGCUGAGGAACGAAAGCUAGGGGAGCAAACAGGAUUAGAUACCCUGGUAGUCCUAGCCCUAAACGAUCAGGACUUGGGGUGCCACCCGUUCGGGUGUCGUCCCGGAGCUAACGCGUUAAGUCCUGCACCUGGGGAGUACGGUCGCAAGACUGAAACUCAAAGGAAUUGACGGGGGCCCGCACAAGCGGUGGAACAUGUGGUUCAAUUCGACGCUACGCGAGGAACCUUACCUGGGCU
rnacentral:rRNA from 1 species